GAGUUUGAUCAUGGCUCAGAUUGAACGCUGGCGGCAUGCCUUACACAUGCAAGUCGAACGGCAGCACGGGAGCUUGCUCCUGGUGGCGAGUGGCGAACGGGUGAGUAAUGCGUCGGAACGUAUCCUGGAGUGGGGGAUAACGUAGCGAAAGUUACGCUAAUACCGCAUAUUCUGUGAGCAGGAAAGCGGGGGACCUUCGGGCCUCGCGCUCUUGGAGCGGCCGAUGUCGGAUUAGCUAGUUGGUGAGGUAAAGGCUCACCAAGGCGACGAUCCGUAGCAGGUCUGAGAGGAUGAUCUGCCACACUGGAACUGAGACACGGUCCAGACUCCUACGGGAGGCAGCAGUGGGGAAUUUUGGACAAUGGGGGCAACCCUGAUCCAGCCAUGCCGCGUGAGUG
rnacentral:rRNA from 1 species